rnacentral:lncRNA from 1 species
AUUUUGAAGAAGUGAUUUUACAUGUUAAUACUUUCCAUGUCCCUUUUACAGCUGUCCCCAUUUAAAAGUGCCUUAAAUAGCAUGAAUUUAUAAAGGAGUUUGGCUAUUAGAAAAUGUAGAUUCCUCAACUUUACUCUCUAUAGCUGUGAAGGUACAGGCAACACACUGCCUUUGUGAUGGCUGAUAAACGUUGGACGGUAUCCAGGGAGGGCUGGCUGUGCCAAUGUCUCUUCUCCCUCUUGCAGUGGAAAAUGUGAGAAGUCUAAGAAUAACCAAAGUACGCAGACGGUGAGGCUGGGGGUUCUAACACUGCUCCUCAUGGAAGCGUAUUUCCGUGAAAUGGGACUUGCUUAAAACUGUUUUGGGUGUAUUUAAAAAGUCUGUUUAAGCUGGGCAUGGUGGUGCAUGCCUUUGAUCUCAGCACUCGGGAGGCAGGGGCCAGACUGGUCUACAAAAGGAGUCCAGGACAAUCAGGGCCUGUUACACAGAGAAAUCCUGUCUUGGAAAAAAAAAAAAAAAAUCAGUUUAAUCUGGCCACAUAUGUAAAGGCAGCUAUGGAAUGACUUUACCGUCAGAUAUGCAGAGAAAUGCGCUCCAUCCUAACUCCAGCACACAGCUCCACUCAGAGAGGCCCUUGGAGCUGUGCUGACUCCAUAGCAGAGAGAGAAUGUUAGGAAUGUUGACUGUCCUCCACUCUGCCCAACUCCUCUCUGCAGAUAAGAUGAAGAUUCAAGUGCCCUGCUUUCAAGGAAGAAGUCAUUUGUCAAGUCACAUGGUGUUGAAUAAUGUCACAAAUACCUACUUCUCCAACACCCACUAAUCUGAGCAGGCUUUCUCUUUGGAGCCUUCCAAAGUCAAGUGAAGGCUGUAUUUUAUUUGCUACUUACUAACUAUAAGUGACGCUUUGGGGUUUUACCAAGCAUUCAUUGUAAGGCAGCCUCUCCCACCCCAGCCCCUCCCCAGGAGGUGGCCUGCAGGCCCUCUCCACUGCCUGGCUUUAGAGUACCAAGUUCUGGUUUCAUAUAGACCGGCCAAGCACUCUAACAGGGUGAGAGAGUGGAACAAUCUAAAUUUAAACUAUAGAAUCAACAUUUUCUCUAGAACUCCCUCCAGUCUGGAGAGGCGUAGGUGGAUCCUGUGAAUUACGCGAUAACGCACACGCGCUCUCUGCAUCCUGCUUGUGUCAAAACAUUUCCAGGACCUUUCAUUUGGGGAGAUCUUAUUUUAGGUUACAGAAUGGGGUGGAGACUCCCUUUCUUUCAUUUUCUUUUCUUCUUUUUUGUUUUUGUAACGUAUUUAAAAAUUUUUAGGGACUUUUAGAUGUUUUGUUUCUCUCU